AAAUACAAUAUAGCAAGUAAAACACUGGAAUGGUAGAUUUGUAGUAGAAGAAAGUGCAAAGUAGAAAUAGAGAUAAUUGGGUGCAAAGGAGCAAAAUAAAAUAAAUAAAUACAGUAGGGGAAGAGGUAGUUGUUUGGGCUAAAUUAUAGAUGGGCUAUGUACAUGUGCAGUGAUCUGUGAGCUGCUCUGACAGCUGGUGCUUAAAGCUAGUGAGGGAGAUAAGUGUUUCCAGUUUCAGAGAUUUUUGUAGUUCGUUCCAGUCAUUGGCAGCAGAGAACUGGAAGGAGAGACGGCCAAAGGAGGAAUUGGCUUUGGGGGUGACCAGAGAGAUAUACCUGCUGGAGCGCGUGCUACAGUGCUCAGUAUGCCUCUGGAACAGGCUUAUCUAAGUGGGCGAGAGCCACAUGCAUCCAGCAAGACUACCAAGGACAGGAGCAACACUGCCACCCUGCUGGCCUCCAGGAGUACUGCAGUCACAGAGUCCAUCGGAAGAGGCUCUCGCAGCGGCUCUGAAAAAGAUUCUGGAUAUUCCGACAACAACAGCUGUUCAGACUGGCUCCAUGCGGAUGGGGAGGACCGGGGCAGCAGCUUGAGUGAGCCCAGGGGAAGGGAGGGUCUUCAGGGCCAGGUCAAGCCCAAGCAGGUCCCUCUCCAGGGGAACGACUUCCUGGUCCGCAGCCCCGGAGGCCCCGACCUCACCCCCAUCUUCAUCAUCAAGAACGUGGUGUUCAAACAGAACAAGAGGAUCUGUACAGAGGACAAGAGGGAUGAGGUGUCCACUAUUACUCACUUACAGACGCCAUCCAGGCAACACGUCCGCAAGCAGCCAGACCCCAAGAGAAGCUUGUCUCACUGGAGGAGCCCUGCCUCCUCCCACUCCCCCAGCCCCAGCUCUCGAUCUCCCUCCAGCCUUUCCUGCCUUGUCUCCCCCUCUGUGUCCGCCUCCUCUUCCGGUGGCUCCUCUCCCCUCCCGGCCAGCAGGUGGCCUUGCAGGCACAGUCCAGGCCUGUCCUUGUUCAGUGUGGAGCGUGACAGGCGCUUCCUGAACACGGUGGGCAUCCUAAGCCAGUCAGGCCUGCUUGACAUCACGCUGCGCACCCAGGACCUCCUCCGCCAGAGCAAUGCCACAGACCGAGACAUCGCCCAGCUCCGCCAGCACACUCAGCUGCUGUACCAGGCCGCCAACCAAAACAACAACCCCAAUAACGACAACCCCUAUAACAACAACGACCCACACAACAACAACCCCAAUGCCAACACAGGCUGGGAGAGGAUACACCAGGCUAUGGCUCAGUCAGGUUGCUACCCCAGCCUGAAGAACCUGGGGAGUGAAGAGGAUACACCAGGCUAUGGCUCAG
rnacentral:lncRNA from 1 species